GGAAUUUGGAAUCUGAGGGUCCAGACUUGGUUCUGGCUCUGCCAAUGACAAUCUGGGGGACCUUGGUCACUUGACUUCUGUAAAAUGAGGAGGUGGGACCAAAUGACUUCUACUAUUCCUUGCAGCUCUAAGCCUUCACUCUAGAGUCAGGAGUUUUUAUUUAUUUUUCAUAUUUUUUUAGGACAGAGAAGACACGAACAUAUUAUAGGCAGAGGGAAAGGAAUUAGUAAGAAGGAAGAAAUUGGAGAUAAGGUGAUGGGGUAGGGUUGGGGAGUAGAAGCAAUGACAGAUGAAGCAAGGGCUCAGAUGGGAAAGUCUGGAAUCAGGAGCAGCAUGCAGAGUUAGCCUUAGCCAGGAAGAGAGCUACCUCCUAAGAGUGAAAGAGAAAAGGAUAGUCAGGUCAGAAGAUUACCUUUUCUAGCCUAUUGUGAAGACAAUAGGCCCUAGUUCAAGGCCUUGCCCAUAGGAGACACUUAGUAAAUGUCUGUUGACUCCAGCCAAAGUAUGGAACAGAGGAAAAGAGAGAGAUAGAUGGCGGAUGUCUUCAGUGUCCUCAGUAAAGUGAGAGAUGGAUCAUUUGCUAAAAAAGGAGGCUGCUACUGUCCCAGGAGUGGUCAUUACUACUGACCUGUCCAGCUUCUCAAGGAUUAUGAUAGGGCAAGAAAGAAGAGUGAAGCGACUGCCUCCACACAUAUGGCCCAGGAAGAGAUCUUCUCCACAUGACUUUGCCAACCACCAAUUCUCCUGCCCCUCAUCCAUUUCUCUAAUCAUUUGGAACUUCAUUAGUCUCAUGGAGGGCCCCUCAACUGCAAAUCAGAGGCACAAUGGUGGGAGUCAGAAGACUGGGGACAGAGGAGAGAUGUUUAUGGCAACCAUGACAGCAGAACUCCUUGGACCUAGCAGCAGACUUUCCAAACUUCAAAUUAAAAAAAAAAAAGACACCCUGGAAUGCUUAAGUGGAAAAGAUGCAAGACAUCAGGCAGGGUAUGUGCAUUCACAGCACAACAUGAAGGAAGACUUUACAAUUAACCAGUAACUGGAGCUGGGAUGACAGGCAAGGCUACCCUACACCCCCUCCCACACCCAAUCAUAAUGGGAAAAAAAAAUUACUUAUUGGUAAUGUUAAACUAUUUGUAUUAAAGCAUCCAAAUUAAAUAAUGACUAAAACUUUCCUUCACAUGUAACUGUAUAUAUAUUUCUUUAAUCACUAGUUGUUUUUUGUGUUUGUGUGUGGUUUAUUUUAGAGAAGUCAGCUAAAGGUUUCAAAACACCUACAUCCUAAUGCACUGUCAAAACUAAGAGAUUAAGGGAGGCCACUAUUUUAAGCAGUUUGGAGGCAGAUGACAGCAGGAGGCCCCCAGGCAAUAUCUGAUAGCAAAGUGUGAUGGCACUGAGGGAAAGUCUGAAAGUGCAGUGGGCCCUAACGUAAGGUCAGUAUACUUGCAAAGCUGGAAGACACCUUUAAAAAACAAAACUAAAAAAAUUUUCCACCAAAAAUUUGGAGUUUUGACUUUGGUCAUGUUUUUGAUGUACAAGAACUGUACACUAUGGACUUUGGGCAGAGACAUUUACAAAACACUUAGCAUGACCAAGCGAGAAGAUACAUGACCAGCGUGGAGACCAAGACCGUCUGAUGUGUUAGCCAUCACCCAUGCAUGCUUAGUGAUUGCCCCCUGCUCCAGAGGUGACCCGUACAAUCAGCAUCCCCAUCAGCAGCUAACAUCCAAUGACAUCAGCCCUCUCUGUAGCCAAACCAGCAAGAAAAUGUCCUCUCCCUGGCAAUCACCUUCCUUCUGCCUUCUGAGAGCUACCAUCCACUGAAGACACAGUGAAGUAACAAGGUUAAUGACCAUCACAAAGCUUGGGGCAGCAUCAUUUCUAUUGGCUUGUACUGGCACCGACCAAAAUAGAAAAUGAAGUUUACCCACACUCAAACCUCACUAAUACUGCCUGUUUUUUUAAAACGCCAUUAGAGAUUUGAUUCUGCCCUUCCUAAUGACCAACCAAUGACCCUAGGCACCACAACUGAGGCCUUCCAGGAUCAAUGUCUGGACCUAAACCCCUCUCUAGGAAGGACAUUUGGGCUUGGGUAGGGCUGGGACAUGGGGUUUUCAUGAAGCCACUCACCAAUCCUCACUAACACUUAUGCACAAAGGUGCAGUCCUGGGAGCUGUUUCAGAAUUGGUACAUUAUGUCCCUGAGUUGUGUAAACAGCUCAGCAGAGGAAUGGAUCAUGAUGCCAGGCACAGAUUCCAACACCAGGAGAAGAAAAGGUGUUAGACACGCAAGAGUGGUGGGAAAGGAAGACAUGCAGAACAGGGGACUGGAAGAGGAUGUUACGUGGCUAUCCCCCCACUUUGUCAUGGAAACCUGGGAUGCAGCAGGGACAAACCCAGAGAGUUGGCUACUCCAGUUCCAGCCCAGAUAACACACACUGCCUGCUCCUCCUCCAUGCCAUGAAGGUUUUAUCUUAAAGUUGGCUGGAGAAGGCAAUGUGCAGGAGUAAAGGUGGAAAAGGAGGGAAGAGUUAAUUAUAAAAAGUCAUGAAAGACUUUGGUUUUGGUUUUUUUUAAGCACAAUAUAAUGAAUGAAUACUCUAUCUACAAAGCAAAUUAACUGCAGAUAGUGAUUCAGAACAGUAUAAGGCUUUUGAAAAUUAAACAGUGAAAAAGAUCAAUAUUUUAUGUUUUUGCUUUUUAAAAAAGUAUAUCCUAUGUAAUGGCAAAGAGUUUUAAAAUGAGCUGACAGGUUUCUGAACCACAUUAUGAAAAAUAUCCAAGAGCUGAAUCUUACAUCUAAUUUAAGAAAACUUAAAACACCUAAAACUACUAAAACUUACCCCCCCAAAAAAAAAGGAAUGAAAAAUUCCCCAGUUGGUUGAUAAAUGUGAGGGUUUAAGUAGCAAUCUGCUUCCCUUUAGAAAAAGGGUAAAGAAAAUCUGAAGUGGGCAGCAGUGACAAGGUAGGAUAUACAAGCAAGGCCGGAGCUCACUGUGUCUGACAGCCCAGAUCACGACCUUUGAUGGUAACAGUCCUCAGAUCAGCUAUUAGAGUUCAGUUCUAGUUUGAGUUCACUAAUGACAUGUUUGCAUCAAUGCGUGAAGGAAACACACUACCAACCAGAGUUUUCUGUUUCUUUCUAACAAGAGGAGGUUUUUCACUCCAAAAGUUAGUCUAGUUCCCUGGUUACUUACUUCCCUGAAAUGAAAUAUUGAAAGGUCCCUACUGUCCAUUUUCCCACCACCACAAGUCAUUCCUAAGGAAUAACAAUCUAUCCAUUCUUUCACUAUUUUAUUCCAGCCCUACCUAGCUCUAUGCUAACACCAUGAGAUCCUAACACAAACUGAGCCUGCUAAAAAGUAGAAGCAGCUUAGAUUUUCAGUGACCCAUAACCGAGUCAUCGUAAGGCACUAACUGAAACUUGGGCAGGAAAAAUGCCCAAACCAUAUAAGAGUAUCAUCCUGGUGAUUUUCUUUCCCCAUCUCCAUUCAAUGAGCACUAGAGAUGAAACUGAACAAAAAAAGAUUUUUUUUUUUUAACCUAAACAUGGUCAGGAUCAAGAAGCAUGGCCAGCAAGCAUGACAACAAUUCAAGCACUUAAAAUCACGAAAAGCCUGGGAGGAGCACUGAGCAGUUCUGCUCCACCCCAAAGGUGUGGGACUACUGGAGUUCUUCUGGAGAGUCCAUGUUACUUUAGAUUUUAAAACAAGGUCAUUUCUUAGUUCCAUGAUAUGAUCCUUCAGAAGCCAUUGGUUAGAAUUCAGACAUGGCAGUAAUGAUUAGUUAGGGUUACUUGGCACAUUGGUGGCAAAAGAUUAAUUUUCUUUUCUUUAAAAAUAAAUGUAAUCCAAAAUCAGGACA
rnacentral:lncRNA from 1 species